rnacentral:rRNA from 1 species
UUAAGCGACUAAGCGUACACGGUGGAUGCCCUGGCAGUCAGAGGCGAUGAAGGACGUGCUAAUCUGCGAUAAGCGUCGGUAAGGUGAUAUGAACCGUUAUAACCGGCGAUUUCCGAAUGGGGAAACCCAGUGUGUUUCGACACACUAUCAUUAACUGAAUCCAUAGGUUAAUGAGGCGAACCGGGGGAACUGAAACAUCUAAGUACCCCGAGGAAAAGAAAUCAACCGAGAUUCCCCCAGUAGCGGCGAGCGAACGGGGAGGAGCCCAGAGCCUGAAUCAGUGUGUGUGUUAGUGGAAGCGUCUGGAAAGGCGCGCGAUACAGGGUGACAGCCCCGUACACAAAAAUGCACAUACUGUGAGCUCGAUGAGUAGGGCGGGACACGUGGUAUCCUGUCUGAAUAUGGGGGGACCAUCCUCCAAGGCUAAAUACUCCUGACUGACCGAUAGUGAACCAGUACCGUGAGGGAAAGGCGAAAAGAACCCCGGCGAGGGGAGUGAAAAAGAACCUGAAACCGUGUACGUACAAGCAGUGGGAGCCUCUUUUAUGGGGUGACUGCGUACCUUUUGUAUAAUGGGUCAGCGACUUAUAUUCUGUAGCAAGGUUAACCGAAUAGGGGAGCCGAAGGGAAACCGAGUCUUAACUGGGCGUUAAGUUGCAGGGUAUAGACCCGAAACCCGGUGAUCUAGCCAUGGGCAGGUUGAAGGUUGGGUAACACUAACUGGAGGACCGAACCGACUAAUGUUGAAAAAUUAGCGGAUGACUUGUGGCUGGGGGUGAAAGGCCAAUCAAACCGGGAGAUAGCUGGUUCUCCCCGAAAGCUAUUUAGGUAGCGCCUCGUGAACUCAUCUCCGGGGGUAGAGCACUGUUUCGGCAAGGGGGUCAUCCCGACUUACCAACCCGAUGCAAACUGCGAAUACCGGAGAAUGUUAUCACGGGAGACACACGGCGGGUGCUAACGUCCGUCGUGAAGAGGGAAACAACCCAGACCGCCAGCUAAGGUCCCAAAGUCAUGGUUAAGUGGGAAACGAUGUGGGAAGGCCCAGACAGCCAGGAUGUUGGCUUAGAAGCAGCCAUCAUUUAAAGAAAGCGUAAUAGCUCACUGGUCGAGUCGGCCUGCGCGGAAGAUGUAACGGGGCUAAACCAUGCACCGAAGCUGCGGCAGCGACACUAUGUGUUGUUGGGUAGGGGAGCGUUCUGUAAGCCUGUGAAGGUGUACUGUGAGGUAUGCUGGAGGUAUCAGAAGUGCGAAUGCUGACAUAAGUAACGAUAAAGCGGGUGAAAAGCCCGCUCGCCGGAAGACCAAGGGUUCCUGUCCAACGUUAAUCGGGGCAGGGUGAGUCGACCCCUAAGGCGAGGCCGAAAGGCGUAGUCGAUGGGAAACAGGUUAAUAUUCCUGUACUUGGUGUUACUGCGAAGGGGGGACGGAGAAGGCUAUGUUGGCCGGGCGACGGUUGUCCCGGUUUAAGCGUGUAGGCUGGUUUUCCAGGCAAAUCCGGAAAAUCAAGGCUGAGGCGUGAUGACGAGGCACUACGGUGCUGAAGCAACAAAUGCCCUGCUUCCAGGAAAAGCCUCUAAGCAUCAGGUAACAUCAAAUCGUACCCCAAACCGACACAGGUGGUCAGGUAGAGAAUACCAAGGCGCUUGAGAGAACUCGGGUGAAGGAACUAGGCAAAAUGGUGCCGUAACUUCGGGAGAAGGCACGCUGAUAUGUAGGUGAAGUCCCUCGCGGAUGGAGCUGAAAUCAGUCGAAGAUACCAGCUGGCUGCAACUGUUUAUUAAAAACACAGCACUGUGCAAACACGAAAGUGGACGUAUACGGUGUGACGCCUGCCCGGUGCCGGAAGGUUAAUUGAUGGGGUCAGCGCAAGCGAAGCUCUUGAUCGAAGCCCCGGUAAACGGCGGCCGUAACUAUAACGGUCCUAAGGUAGCGAAAUUCCUUGUCGGGUAAGUUCCGACCUGCACGAAUGGCGUAAUGAUGGCCAGGCUGUCUCCACCCGAGACUCAGUGAAAUUGAACUCGCUGUGAAGAUGCAGUGUACCCGCGGCAAGACGGAAAGACCCCGUGAACCUUUACUAUAGCUUGACACUGAACAUUGAGCCUUGAUGUGUAGGAUAGGUGGGAGGCUUAGAAGUGUGGACGCCAGUCUGCAUGGAGCCGACCUUGAAAUACCACCCUUUAAUGUUUGAUGUUCUAACGUUGACCCGUGAUCCGGGUUGCGGACAGUGUCUGGUGGGUAGUUUGACUGGGGCGGUCUCCUCCUAAAGAGUAACGGAGGAGCACGAAGGUUGGCUAAUCCUGGUCGGACAUCAGGAGGUUAGUGCAAUGGCAUAAGCCAGCUUGACUGCGAGCGUGACGGCGCGAGCAGGUGCGAAAGCAGGUCAUAGUGAUCCGGUGGUUCUGAAUGGAAGGGCCAUCGCUCAACGGAUAAAAGGUACUCCGGGGAUAACAGGCUGAUACCGCCCAAGAGUUCAUAUCGACGGCGGUGUUUGGCACCUCGAUGUCGGCUCAUCACAUCCUGGGGCUGAAGUAGGUCCCAAGGGUAUGGCUGUUCGCCAUUUAAAGUGGUACGCGAGCUGGGUUUAGAACGUCGUGAGACAGUUCGGUCCCUAUCUGCCGUGGGCGCUGGAGAACUGAGGGGGGCUGCUCCUAGUACGAGAGGACCGGAGUGGACGCAUCACUGGUGUUCGGGUUGUCAUGCCAAUGGCACUGCCCGGUAGCUAAAUGCGGAAGAGAUAAGUGCUGAAAGCAUCUAAGCACGAAACUUGCCCCGAGAUGAGUUCUCCCUGACCCUUUAAGGGUCCUGAAGGAACGUUGAAGACGACGACGUUGAUAGGCCGGGUGUGUAAGCGCAGCGAUGCGUUGAGCUAACCGGUACUAAUGAACCGUGAGGCUUAACCUU